AUUGAACGCUGGCGGCAGGCCUAACACAUGCAAGUCGAGCGAGCGGCGGACGGGUGAGUAAUGUGUGGGAAACUUCCUGAUGUAGGGGGAUAACUACUGGAAACGGUAGCUAAUACCGCAUACCAUCAGAUGUGCCCAGGUGGGAUUAGCUAGUAGGUGGGGUAAUGGCGUACCUAGGCGACGAUCCCUAGUUGGUCUGAGAGGAUGACCAGCGACACGGGAACUGAGAAACGGUCCAGACUCCUACGGGAGGCAGGAGGGGGGAAUAUUGCACAAUGGGCGCAAGGCGGAUGCAGCCAUGCCGCGUGUGUGAAGAGGGCCUUCGGGUUGUAAAUCGCUAUCAGCGGGGAGGCGUUACCCGCAGAAGAAGCACCGGCUAACUCCGUGCCAGCAGCCGCGGUAAUUC
rnacentral:rRNA from 1 species